UCCAAGAGAACAUUUUUAGCAGCAAGUGUGAGCUUGUACUUGUCUAGUCAUGUGUCAAUAAAAUAUAAAGAUUCAUAAUUUUUGAUAAUUUCAUGUGAUAUUGGAGAGCCCACAUUGAGAAGAUCUUGCUAGAUUUAGGGGCUAGCAUAAAUAUUCUUUCUUUUUCAGUUUAUAGGCAACUAGGGUUGGGAGAACUUCUACCGACAAAGAUCACAUUA
rnacentral:lncRNA from 1 species